CUCUGACUCUUUUCCUUCUCUUCCAUGUUGGCUCCAGAAAUCAGGAUGUAAACCUUAGCUGAAGGUGGCUAAAAUCCCAGGUAGCGGUUGAAGUUGUGUUCCUCUUACCUGCCUGGAUCAUCUCUGAAUCAAAUCCCAGAUGUUGCCUUUCCUUUCCUUUAUGUCGUGACAGAUUUGAGUGUCCUCAGAGCUGAUGAUGAUCUACACUAGAAGUGACUUUCCCAGGUUUU